UUGACAUUAAAGGAGAACCAGUAACUAAAGAUGUAUGAUGAAUCAAGAUGUGAUCAUGUGGGUCCUGUUCUGCAGAUGCCAUGAGAUGAUCUGUCUGUCCAUCUGAUAUCACUUGUCCUGAGUAUAUUUUUUCUCCUCUUAGCCCAAUCUCACUCAAAUUUAACUCAUAGAGUGCCUGUGGAUGGAGGGUAAAAAGUGACCUUGGACCAAUUAUCAAGGUCAAAGAUCGCAGAUGAUGUGAAGAA